UACGUAGGGUGCAGGCGUUAAUCGGAAUUACUGGGCGUAAAGCGUGCGCAGGCGGUCUGUUAAGACAGGUGUGAAAUCCCCGAGCUCAACUUGGGAAUUGCGCUUGUUACUGGCAGGCUAGAGUGUGGCAGAGGGGGGUGGAAUUCCACGUGUAGCAGUGAAAUGCGUAGAUAUGUGGAGGAACACCGAUGGCGAAGGCAAUCCCCUGGACCUGUACUGACGCUUAUGCAUGAAAGCGUGGGGAGCAAACAGG
rnacentral:rRNA from 1 species